AGAGACAGGCGGCGAGAGCUUUCCUCGGGCAGCUGUGGGCCAUGGACCUUUUCAUCACCAUUUUUCUUUUUUCUUCCUUUUUUUUUGUUGUUUUUUGAACCUGGUUCAUCUGCCCAUCCAGCGGAGCGGAGGUGCAGAGCAGCCGACAGCGACUUGCACUGACCCGGCGCAGAGGCGGCAAUGAGGCGCGGGUGCUGCGGGUCCGCGGGGGCCCCGGGCGGCCGAGGCGGAGCGGGGCGCCGGCGACGGGAACGGGGACACCUCGGCCGAGGAGGGCGCCCGGCUGGGCAGCCGCCCCGGGAGAGCUGCCGGCGGGAGAUGCGGCGCUCUCCGUCCCGCCGGCGGGAGGCUGCUGAAGACGUUUUGCCUCCUUUUAAGCUCGCCGUUAAAGAAAACCAGCUGUGAACAUCAAAUGCCAAGGAGCUAUUAAUAGAUAUAUAUACCGUAUGUAAAAGCAAAUGAGUGGCACUUUUUUCCCCCUGGAGUCCAUCCUUGACUGCUUUGGGUAGCAGAGGGGCUCAGCUCAGCCCCUUCUGCCGUGCGUGUAUUUAUGGGGCUCAGCGAAGCUCUGUCAUUGCAGAUGUCUUGAGAAAUUUGCUUGCUGUAAAUCAUAUUUUACUGCUGCCGCGACUCGGGCUGUCCCCUGCUUCAAGCUGCUGGAGCCACGAUGAGACCGGACUGACGGCCAGCCCCCGAGAAACUCCUUCAAGCGAAAGCCUGGUCCUCCACCAUGUGUUGCCUCCUCCGUGUUUAGGGUGGCGGGUGAUGCUGCGCGCUGUCAAAAACUUCUCCUGUAAAAAAAUACUAGGGGGAAUUAAAAAAGAGAAAGACUUCUCCCCCUUUCCCCUGCGAGAGAGCUGCCGGCAGCGUCGACGUGCUUGGAAGUGGAGCCCGUUGAGGUGGUGUCUGCUGGCCGUGCCUGCACGAGUGUCCCCGCGGGCCAAAUUAAUCACCCAGCGCUUUUAUGCCUCUUUCUGAAGUGCGGCAGAGGGAGGCCACCUCCUCCAGGAUGCCGGCAGCCAGCACGGGCUCGAUAACUCGCCUGCUCUUUGUGGGAGUAGAUCUGCUUCGUCCCGUUAACUCCUACCACGCUGCGUUACACGGGCUCUGCAAAAUGCCUGGGCCCUCACCAGCUAAACCUGAGAUUGCAGUUAGCUACAGCUUUCAGUGCUUCCACCAAAAUCCCCUCCCUCGCUGAGUAUUUCCUCUGGUCACAUUUUCAGUACAGCAGAUACCAAAAGACUGUAACUGUGUUCUUUGUUGAUCCCUGCAUAAACCCAGCUCUGGAUCUGGUCUAAUGUGCAUGGCACCAGGCUAUUUCAGUAUCAUUUUUCACURUAUAAAUAUAGAUGUUUUAGAUGCAAUCUUUACAGCUAAAGAGUGAUAGUAGGCAAUGAAGAAUAAAUGCAAUUGCUUCACCA
rnacentral:lncRNA from 1 species